GCAGUAUAUCACAGAUACAUGACAGAGGAGACUGACUCGUGUCUGGAUGUUACAGGGACAGAUGAGACACAUGUGUGUUUAUCUGCUGAAGAGACACUGAUGAAGGAAUGCUGCCAUCAAAGGAUUUGUGUAAGUACACUACAAAAAUAAAUUAAACAUUUUAAAUCUUAAGUUGUAUUUUAUUUUAAUGUAAUUUUAAACAACUAUUACACCUCCUUUCUUAUUCCUGAUUUCUGUGCAUUUGCUGCAGAUCUUUUGUGCUGGAGCAGGACCUGCAAGGAAAGGUGAAAAAAAGGGAAAACCUGAAACAAAAGAAUGAUGUAAUGAAUUUUUGUAUUGUGUAUGUAUAUUUUUGUAGGACAUGAAAAUGUCUGUAGACUGGUGUGUGCACUGAGGAUGGAGAAGACCAAAGCAUCAUCCUGGAAAUGAUCGAGAGUCACAGAUGAGACGCUCCCUCACUCCACCUGCCCUUUACUAUCUCAUCGGGACCAGAUGCUGCUGUGAUGUCUUCAUCCUCAGUUCGAAUACCAGGGAACACAUGUUAGGUAGUCGUGCUCAUGGGGUGCAGGCACACGAUUGUUUGGAGCAGACACAGCAGUCAGAUUGUCCUGCACGUGUUUUUCUGCUCUAGCUUCAAGGUUGUGUGGUUCAGAGAGCCGUCAUCAAGGUCUUCCUCAUCCUGUUGCUCAACGACAUCCCCGUCGAGAAGAGUGAGAUUAUGAAGUGCAGCAGCAGAACUGUAUCAGCUGUGUUCAGAUGGCAGGAGGAUGUUGGGUUCACCAUCUGUAAAUACAUGAUUGUUAGAACAAUAAGUUUGAAUGAAGCUUUGUAUCAUGUGUUGUUGACUUGUACAUUAUCAAAUCAACAGUCUUCUCCAAAGGUGAGAUCUUCGAGCAGCUGAUCGAAGUACCCUUUGUGCAGAUAUUGCAGAGUCGCUGUGAGGAGUUAGUGCACCUGACCCUCUUUUUUUAUUAUUAUUGCCAAAUUAUUUCA